UACGUAGGGGGCAAGCGUUGUCCGGAAUCAUUGGGCGUAAAGAGCGUGUAGGCGGCCCGAUAAGUCCGCCGUGAAAGUCCAGGGCUCAACCCUGGGAUGCCGGUGGAAACUGUCGGGCUAGAGUCCGGAAGAGGCGAGUGGAAUUCCUGGUGUAGCGGUGAAAUGCGCAGAUGUCAGGAGGAACACCAAUGGCGAAGGCAGCUCGCUGGGACGGUACUGACGCUGAGACGCGAAAGCGUGGGGAGCAAACAGG
rnacentral:rRNA from 1 species